UUUGAAUUCUUUUUUAAAAUUUUAAUUUAUUAAUUUAUUUUAUCUCUUUCCAGCCUCUUGUCACGUUUUCACUUCUUUUGUUUUUAUUAUUUUCAUUUUAUUUUUAAUUUUUCAAAUAAAUUUGCUCCCAUUUUCUUUCUUUCCCCACAUUUGUUCCCCAAUUUCCCCAUUUUCACGCCACCAUGCUUUGCAACCGGUUCUGUUUUGUUCCUUUCUAUUCUUCUUUUGAUUCUUGAUCUUUUAUGUUUUUUUUUCUUUAUUUUGUUUUGGCUGCCAUUCUGCUCUUAAAUGGAUUCUCUAUUCACGACUUUGCUUCUCGUUCCCUUGUUGUUCGCUUCAUUCUCGGUGUUGUGGUUUGUCGUAGUUGUUUCGUCAGAGGAUUGUGUGGCUGUUGGUUCUGCUCCAGCCACUUAAACGUCUUGUGUUCGUUGUUUCGUAGCGUAACCCUCAAACUUAGGUGGAUCGGUGCAAUGGGAGCUCAGUUAUAAUAUCUUGGUUAGCUCGGGGUUGGAGAUCGUCAGAGGCAACAUCACACUAUCAAGUUGCUACCUUUGGAAUAAUGAAGUAUAUAUUAGAAAUUUCAAGUGAGUGGCAUGUAUAGAGAUCUAGUUGAUUGACAUGUAUUAUUUUGCUUUGGCCAAAUGUGUUGGCUUAUAUUGAGUUAUAUGUAUAUGGCCAUGAGAUGUGGCUCAUAUUGAUUAUGACUUGUAAGCCUAGCUAUUCAUGUCA